rnacentral:lncRNA from 1 species
AUCAGGCGGGGAAUAAAAAGGACAUAUGUAGGGGAAACAGGUAAAUUAGGACAAAGCUGAAAUGCCUGAACCAAACAUGGAAAUGCGAUCUAACUAAGGAAAUACACACUCAAACUCAACUGGGGAAGAAAUGAUUUUCAAAACAGAAGUAACAUAAGUAUAUUAUCCACUAUCGGUUACUGAGCAAGGGGAUAACAAAUUCUAACAGGGAUG